rnacentral:rRNA from 1 species
GUAACCUACGGGGGGCAGCAGUGGGGAAUAUUGCACAAUGGGGGAAACCCUGAUGCAGCGACGCCGCGUGAAGGAAGAAGUAUUUCGGUAUGUAAACUUCUAUCAGCAGGGAAGAAAAUGACGGUACCUGACUAAGAAGCCCCGGCUAACUACGUGCCAGCAGCCGCGGUAAUACGUAGGGGGCAAGCGUUAUCCGGAUUUACUGGGUGUAAAGGGAGCGUAGGCGGUGCAGCAAGUCAGAAGUGAAAGCCGGGGGCCCAACUCCGGGACUGCUUUUGAAACUGUUUAACUAGAUUGCAGGUGAG